AUGGGCCGUCUUCGUCCAAGAGAAAGGCCAGCCUUUUCUGGCUUUACAAAGGCUGAGGUAAUCCUUUUUUUUUUUUUUUUUCCUUUUUUCUUUGUAUAUUGUAAAUGUAGCUCUUUUUUUUUUUUUUUUUAAAUGAUUUAUAUUAUUACUUUUUUCUUUUUAUUGAUUGAUUUCUGUGAUUAUUUACAAUCAUGAAAGAUUUUCUGUUAUGCACAAAAUUUUAAUGAUAAAAUUUUCUUUUUAUAAAUAUUUUCUGUUCAUAAUGCCAUAUAUUGUAGCCUCAAACACAAAAAAAAAAAAAAAAAAAAUCCUUAAUUUUGAAUCAUGGAAAUCAUCUAUGGUCUGUGUUUGUGAUGACCCUAAUUUUUUGCAGCUUUUUUUUUUUUUUUUUUUUUUUUUAAAUUUUUAGCACAAGAACAUGGGUUUCACAAAUGGAAUCUUUACUGUUAGCUCUUAAUUUCAGCCUUGUAUAAGGUUAUAUUUUUAAAAAUUACUUGAAGUGGGGGAGAGGAUUCAAACCAGGGUUCUUCUUCAUUGGAGAAUUGGGCAAUGCCAUUGAGCCACAAGAGUCUUGACAGAUUUGUGUACUAGAACAGAUAACCUCAGUCGUUGUAAUAGCUUUUGAGGAUCUUAUAUUCCUAUGUGGGUUUUGAUGCAUAAUCUAUCAAUGUAGUAGGUUACAAUUGUCUGACUGGUAAUUUUAGAACCCGAUUGGCAGUGAAAUAUGGGUAUUGAUUGAUUAUCCUAGUCUUACAGUACAAACAUGAAAGUUAGCUUUUAAGUUGAAGUUAAGCCUCUUGGGUUUGAUUGAGGCUGAACCCAAAUGUUAUAAUUACAUGUGUUGUACGUGAUUAAGUCAUUUAUAUAUGUUUUAUACGUGCAGAGGUUUAUAGUUCUCUGAUCAUGAUGUCUUAAGUUAUAGCCUCUGUUAAAAGCAAACUUGUGGAAAUUUUUUUCAUAAGUGCAAAAAAAAGUUCAUGGAAAUUUGACUUAGCAUUCCUGUGUAUGUGGAUAAAUGGGCAUGGAAAUAAUGGAUCUUUUAAGUAUUAUACAAAACAUUCCUAUUCAAUGCCAUAAUGCUAAAAAAUAGCUUGCUUUGUGAUUGUCCGGUCCAAAUUCUAUCCUUCUUUUUAGCCCCCGCGGGGUGGGGGGGGGGGGGGUGCUGGUGGUGGAAAUUAUGAUAUUUAUUCUUAUUGUGAACAAGUUCAAAGCAUUUCUAUGUAUCAGCUUAGUUAUCCUCUAGAUUUGUGUAAAGUUGUGUGGGAAUUUUAGAAUAUGAAGAGUUGAUGUGCUUAUGAUAUUGUGUUUUAUUGUGAUCAUAGAGUCCCAACUAUUAUAUUGUGCACUUUGAUUAGCUAGGUCAUUUGGAACCUUGUUUUCAAUUUAUUUUAUGCUCCUUGAUAAGUUGCAUUCAUAGGCACCUCUUACCUCCUCUGUUGACCAUCAAUCCCAAUCCUCCCCAUAUUUCAAAGGAACAAGCCAUCUCUAUAAACGAAUGCCUUCCUCUCCAAAGCCCAACAGGCUUGGUUAAAAGUGUCCAGCUUAGACCUCCCUAAACUCCCCUAGCUAGUAGGAGGACAAACUGUUUUCCAAUUCACAAGAUUGAAUUUGAACUCGUCACCCAAACCACUUCACAAAUAAUUCCUCUCCAAUCUGUUAGCCUCAAAUGUAGAGGUUGUGAACGACUGUAUUAAGUUUGUAUGUAGAUUUUCUCUUUUCCCCCUUAUUUUGACAAAUAUAAUUGUUUUUAACUUGAUAGUCUUCACCCAAUUUUCUCCAAAAUGGGAUUCCACGCUUUCUUGCCUUGAAUGAUGAUCCCAAAGGUGCGACUGAUUAAUUCAUUUGCAACAUAGAAUAUCAGCCCAUGCAGAACCUGUCCUACAAGAACUAAAGUGAUAUAUUUAGGUACAUAGUUUCUUAAUUGAAGGAGAAAGGAUUCAAGAUUUUCUGCUUCUAUGGCAUUCAAAAAAAGUGAGCAGCCUGGUAGAGUUGUCUCAUGCCAGGAUGUAUGAUAAGAUUUUCACUUGUUCUACACACACACACACACACACACACACACACACAGCAUACAUAGUUAAGCUUUUAAGGUGUGCCUUUAAAAUCCACAAUUAUUUGGGCUGAUUUUUUUUUGAUAAGUAAAUAAAGAUUUUAUUGAAGCGCAGACAAGAGAAUGAACUUAAAGGAGUCUAAUGAGUUAAAAAUAUUUGGGCUGAUUGUUAUUGUUCCAUCUUCCUCAUAAUAGGUGGAAUCAAUUUUUGACUUAAGAAUUUAGUGUCGCAAUAUCCAUUGGGGUUGCAUUAUUUGGACAUUGUUUGCAUUUGCUAAUUAAUACUAAUAAUGUUUGUUCAAUCGUUUCUUCUUCUUCUUCUUCUUCUUUUCUUGAAAGCUGUCACUUUUGUCUUUUAGAUAUUUUUGAAAGCAACCCUGUCGACACCAUUAGCAUUUUUCUUUGUUGAAAUUGUUUUCAAUUUUUUUUUUUGGGGGUUAAUGUUAUUUGCUAAUAAGUAUCAUAAUUUUAUCUGCUCAAUCCCUUGCAAACAGAUUGAGAAAAUGGAAAAAUUGCUAAAGGAAUCAGGAGAACAGUUGCUGAACCUAGAAAUAUGUCAAAGAAUUGCAAAAAGUUUUAAGUGAGUCCCAUUUCGUAUCUUUAUUGGUUUGAUUAAAUAGUAUAAUUUGGUUGUAACAAUGAUACAUAUGUUUUUUGUUUUUAUAAGUAAGAACUAUGAUACAUAUGUGAUUGGUUAUUGUCUAAAAAUUGUUUGUCUUAAAUGAUACUUUCUUCUCUCUCAAUAAUAGAUGGAGGAUGAGGUCAUGGGUGAAGACCCAUUGGGUGUGUGUGUAACUUACUUACCAAUAAAAAAGUUGUGUGUCUAGAUGCUAAGCCUUUCACUUUGCAUGUAUGUCUCUGCAGUCGCUCAUCUGGUCGUGCUGGGAAACCUAUUGUUAAAUGGAAUGAGGUUAUUGCGUUAUCUAUUCUUUCUAUUUCCCUCUUUAUUAUUAUUCCACUCUAAGAUAGGAUUAUUACUUAGUUGUUGCUGCCUUAAAGAACUGUUGUAUAUUUUGUAACACUUAUUUGUUUUGAUUAUGUCUUAGGUAUAUAGUUGGUUCCAAAAUCAGCAACAAAAUGAAUCGGCAGCCUCUAAAAAUGUGCCUGUGCUCCCAAAAGCUAGCCCUUCUAAUGGGAUAGAUGAAAACUUGGAAAUGCCUAAAGGUUCAAAAUGCUUACUGCUUCUUUUCUGUUUUGUCCAUGCUGUUAUAUAAGAUAAUAUUUGUUGCAGCUUUCAGAUUUUUAUAUCUUGCUCUUUAUAUUGCGUGUUUUUAUAUACAAAUUUACCUCUCUCUCUCUAGCUGGCAGUGUGUAGACUGCAGACUGUGGAGAGAUUAACUCUUUACAUGUUAUAAAUCCUGUCUUUGAGUAAAUGGUUUAUAAAAAGCAGGGGGACCCAUUUAGUAUUGAACUCAUGGUGCCUUGUAAAUACAAUAUAUGUAUAAAGCAUCUGCAAAUGCAGAAUUUGAUGAAAGAACUGGUGAUGAUAAUGGAUGGAUUGAAGCAAAUGAACAAGAUGAAUGACUUUAAUGUUGUAAAAAGAAAAAAAGAAAGCAUGAAUGGCUUAAUAUAUAGAAUAUGUCUGAAAAAAUGUACUAUUCAAUUUAACAUGGUUAGAAAGUUUACCAUUGGCAUUAACUUCUCAACUUGCAAUUUCAGUUGUUACAUUUACAAGUUAUAUAUAAUCAAUGCUUUACUUAUCAAAUAAAAACAUUGAUUCAAUUUUCAUGGUAUGGUAAACUGCCCCAAGCUAUUGUUGAAGAAUCUUUAUGCUUUUGGAAUUCUCUAUGUUGUUGGAGAUAUUCAAUUUAUGUCUUUUGUGAUGUUGCCAUCAACACAAUUUAGUAAUUAGUUGUCAAAUUUGCUUUAUGGUAUGUGAUACUAUAAUAAAUCAUGCUCUUUAAAUAAAUGUAUUUGAAUUGUGGAUGUUUUGAUUGAUGUGCAGUACAUCAGGACAGUGCAUAUGACUGUGGCUUUUACUUAUUAGUUCUCUUUUAAAUUUUGGUACUCAUCUCGUUUUUUAAAAUGGAAUUUUUCUUUUUCAUAGGCCCCUUCUUUCAAUUGAUAUUUAUCUUACUUUAUAAAUGAGUUAUAAUUUUUGAGUUAAUAAAUAAAUGUUUAAGUUUGUAAUCUUUGAUAUUUUUUGCUGUAAUCUUCUGUAGAAGAUAGUUCAAAAGCAGGAGAAAGAAUCCCAGAUAUUUUAGAAGCAGGCGAAAGGAUCCCAGACUUAUUAGAGUUGGAAUUUGAGGCAAGGUCAUCAAAAGAUGGGGCAUGGUAAGCCUACAUAUAAGCAAGGGUAUUUUCAUUACUUUGUUAGAAACUUUAAGCUGGUCAUUUAAUAUUUUAAUAUCACUUUUUUGAAUGCAUCCUUGUGCGGUUUAUCAUUGUCCUGUUGUUUGCCACCAGUAUUUUUAAAGGUCAAAGCAUGAUACAAGGUCUCUUAUCAUUGGAAAGGCCUAUGGCACAAGCUUUUAUAUAUUUGGUAAAAUAUGCUUUGGCAAAUAUAUUAAAGGAUAGUAGCAGAAUUAAUUGAAGAAAUUGUUAAUAACAAUAACAUCUUUUUUUAAAUAGCAGACCAUAAUACUAUAAGCAAUACAAUCUGAAUUAUUAUUCAGAUUUUAGCCAUUUAGGGAACGCCUAGCACUGCUUCAUUCUUAGAUAUGAUAGACAGUUGUUUGUAGCUUGCAUGUUCCAUCCUUUUAUGCCAUAAUUCUUCAUUAGGCAUCUGAAUACUAUUGCAAACUCUCUCAAUAGUUGGAACCAAGCCGUAGCAAUUAUCCAAAGUACAUACCCCCACCAAGCUUGAUAACAAAUUUGACUUAUGCUCAACAGACUUUCUUUUAGUCCUUCAACAUAUAGCACAUUUGUGAUGUCAGGUAAUCCACGUAAGGAAAUAAUUCCCUUCCCCUUUAUCUAGGAUUUUCUUCCAUCCCCAAAUGUAACAUUGCCACACCUUUUUGGCUCAAAUGUUUUGAAGAGAAACCGGUCCCUAGUCAUAUGUCUUGAACAUGCACUGUCAAGAUACCAUAGACAUGUAUUCAUCACCUGAAGAGCAAUAUGCAUCAUAAAGCACACUUCAUGUUUAUCAGUCAAGUUAUAUGGCUAAGUUCUUUCUUUGUGACCUCUGCUAGACAACCUCAAUCAUUCUUUCAUCUUUCUCUUGCCUGCAACCCAAUGUAUGCAUCUUUUCAGACAGUCUAGUUUUCUUUUGCAUUUCUCAAAAAUCAACAGUUCUUUUAGCUGAGCUGAUUUCAUAAACAUAUCCAUAUGCAAGCCUUUUUCAAUUAACACAUAUAUCUGUCUCAAAUAAAUUUCAGACUUACAUGUCCUGAGAGACUGAAACACAUCAUUCUUAGAAUCACAAGAGGUAUUAUUCAAAGACUUGUUCAUGUAAUUUGUAUCCAUGACAACAAGGACAAUAGAUCACACCGCAAAGAUUAAAAUCUAAUUAAAGUGUGCUUGCUAUGAUACCACUUGUUCGGUUAAAAUUAAUACAAUUACCAAAGCUGAUUAAUUAGGUUAAGUUACAUGCAAAUUGUGGAGGCACCAACAAAUCAUCAGAUAAACUAAUAUGUAAUGGAAAAUAAAUUAAUACGGUGAUUUGUUGAAAAAUUGUGAAAACCUCUCGUAAGGCAAAAACUCCACCAAGUGAAUUUAAGAUCUCCACUUCCAAGAAUCCACUAAACAAUAAUCAAUUAGUUACAAGUAUAAGGACUCUUACCACUACCUUUUCAAAAUAUCAACUUAUAGUUGAACCUUUGCUCCAGUACCGAAUUAGAUUUGAUCUUGUAGCAGCCUUCUUUUCUUUGAUGCAUAAAUCUCCAAUCUAUGACUAAUUUCUUUGCAUGAAUCCCAAUACAUGAAUAACUCUAGCAACUUGAAUGAUUGUUGUUGACUACAAAGUUCUUCACUUCAUCAACAAUGAAGAGCAGGAAGCACUUGGUUAUAAAACUCUAUGGCAUACAAAUGCAGUAGUUUCUCACAAAGAAAAUUAAACUCUUGGUCUUUGUAUUCGUGUAUGACAGCUCUUAAAAUAAGCUUUAUGUAGGGACUGUUUUUGUAGCCCAAGCCCAAAGGAUAUGGGUUAAAGGCCCAACGAACCCAGAACAAUGAAUUUGUAGAGAAUGGGCGAAAGAGCUGGGCUGGUUAUGAAGCACAGAAUAAUUGGCUAGGUUACGUGCAGUGAUGAUAACAUGAACUAAUGCUUGAACAACUCCAUACAUGAAUGUCCGAAAAGAUGUUUUAUUAAGUGAGCAGUGAUUACAGCAUUCAGAGCUAUAGUAAAGCUUUUCUCUCCCUUUUUCUCUCUCUGCUCCGUCCCCUAUUAUCAGGGACCCUUCUUCUUUAUAUAGCAUCCCUUCCUAUCAUCUCCAUCAUCCACCUGUUCUUCAUCCGCGCAUCUACUUAAGUGCAUGUCACGUCAUGUGUCUACUUUAGUUCUUUGUGAGUGGCAAUAGCUGAAGUUGCACUAUUCAGGGGUCUUCUCCACAUAAAUACGGCCAGAAAAGCUGUUACAGUGCAUUAAAUACGGUGGUAGUAGCUUUUCCUUUAGAUAUUUUUCUUUAGUUCUGAUCAUCUCUGGAUCCACUUAGAACUUAUCAUUAUCAUUGAGAUUGUUAGGAAGGUUAUUCGGGUCUUCCACACGUUUGUUUGAUCAAGGCUAUUUGUGGCCGAGGAGUAGGACGUCCUUGGACUAGCAGUGACCUCUUCGGACGACAUUCUCCCUUUACUUCUGGGCUUCCUGCCUUCAGAUGGACCGUCCCAACCACCUAUUACUCCUCGGAAAUAUAAUAGUCCUUAACAGGACGCUCCGGGCCCAUUAAGUAGCUCUGGGCUUUUACCCCCCCCCCCCCCACACUUUAUAUAUGUUUAGGUUUGUGAGAAAAGAAAACUUAAACAAAUACAUCAACUUGGGUCGAAUUUCAAAUCUAAAAUUCUGAAAUCAUAAUUUUUGAUAGAUCGAGCAUGUGUCAAGCUUCCCAUUUAGUCUCGAUAGCAGCUAUUUGUUGAGCUUUAAUAAAACAAUUUUUCUUCACUUGUUUCUUGGAUCAGUCUUAAUAUCUUUAAUACUAACACUUUACAUCUACCUAAUUUACAUCUACCUAAUUAUAAAUAAACUGCGUUUUGUCAAAAAAUUAGUCAAUUACAUAUAAAAUAUGGCCUUAACAAACCCACGCAACAAAAAUAGAGCUACAAUAAUGGUGUUAUUGCUAAAUUUUUUUAGCUAAUUGAGCUAAAAAAUAAUAAUUGAAUGUACAUAUAUAUGGCAUAUGUAGGUGUUGUGAAAUUUUAAAGUACUUGCAAGUGUACGAACCGUACCGAAGUAUAGUUUGACAAGAACGAGGUCGAACCCACAGGGACUUGAAUGAACGUAAGAAAAUUAAUUAAAUCUUAACCAAAUUAAUCCUAAUCUAGUUUAAUAAAAAUUGGUUGUUUUGAAAUUAAAUAAACUAAGCAAAUAAUAAAAUUAAGCAAAUAGUUAAACUAAGCAAGAGAUAUAAAACAAUAAAAAGAUGUAAACAAUCAAGGGAAAGGAGCCAGAAUUUAGCGACAAAAUGUUUUCGUCGCUAUUGCCCACUUCUAGCGACGAAUUUCUAUUUCGUCACAAAAGGAGCCAGAAUUUAUUACUCUUUUAGUGACGAAAUUUAUUUUCGUCACUAAAGAAACCAUAUUUUGUUAAGAUUUUUAGCGAGGAAAUUCAAAUUUCGUCACUGUAGCAGUCUUUUAGUGACAAAUUGUAAUUUCGUCACUAAAAACAUAUAAGUGCAAAACUAUUAUUAUUUUUAGUGACGAAUAUUUUUCAUUGCUAAUUCUUCCUUAUAGUGAUGAAAUUUAUUUUUGUCACUAAAGAAACCAUAUUUUGUUAAGAUUUUUAGCAAUGAAAUUCAAAUUUCGUCGCUGUAGCAUACUUUUAGUGACGAAUUGUGAUUUCGUCACAAAAAUAUAUAAGUGCAAAACUAUUAUUAUUUUUAGUGACGAAUAUGUUUCGUCGCUAAUUCUUCCUUAUAGCGACGAAAGGAUUUUUGUCACUAAUACUAUCACAGCAAUACCUAUAGUGACGAAAUAUUUCGUCACUAAAAAUUUCAACUUUUAGUGAUGAAAUAUUUCAUCGCUAUAGAUUAAUUAAACUUGAGCCAAAAUUACCCUCCACUAGCGCCCAUUUUUCAGAUCACAAUAGCGACGAAAUUUAUUUUUCGUCGCUAAAUGUUAUAAUUUUUUUCACCAUUAGUGACGAAAUUCAUAUUUUGUCACUAAAACUGUAUUUUUAGUGACGAAAAAUAUUUCCUCACUAAUUUUCGUCGCUAAAAAUACAUUUUGUUGUAGUGUACACUGCACCAACCCAUAACUUAUCACGGACUGCCCGCUCAAUGUCACUGUCAGAUUAUCAGUGUCAUACAACUUCUCCGCUACAUUGACACGCUUUAUUAGAGAUUUCAACAGAUCAAGCGAGUAAAAAUCGGGUUGGUUAGCAGUAUUCUGGCCAAUAAUCGCUGGUGACCACGAUGCCACUCCAAAUAAAUCAACAUUGGAAUACCUUAACAAGCAUUUAUCGUACCAUAUAAUUGCAGAUUUAUUAGAUGGACACCGAGUUGUGAUAUCUUGGGUCGCAUAGCUCAGACAGAUUUGGCAGGUCUCAUUAGAAACAUCACCUUGGCAGAGGUAGAGGCCGUAGAUGCCAACAUUAGAGCUUUCGUUGUAGAAGCUGUAGUUUUGGGAAGCCUUAGAUGA
rnacentral:sRNA from 1 species